AGUGUCUCCUCUCUUUGGAAAGCAGUCACCUGCACAGAGACAGGCGAGACGGAACUGAGAGAGAAGAGAGAAGAAAAAUGAACUUAAGAGAGUAGUGCAAGAAAAACAGAUACCGUAUAAAAAGAGACACAAGGCAAAAGCUAAAGAGAGGAAAGUAAAGGACAUCGGAGAAAGAGGGGGAGACACCAGUCCCAGCCAGGUCUGUGAGACGUCUGCACCACACAGCACUGAGCCCAGACCGCCAUGGACAACAGCUGUGGAGGAGCCGCUUCUAAUGCAUCCCAGGGUGCGGUGAGGAAGACAAGCAGAUCAUCCCAGCAGCCCUCAGCCAUGGGAGGACGCCGACCCCCCAUAAAGGUGGAGGACAGGAAGUCCAGCCCUGCCCCCCAAAAUGUCCGACCUACAGAACGCCCCCCCAUCUAUGAGGACACCGACUGGACGGCGCCCAGGAUAUACAGAACAGCCUCAAACAUCUCACUGUGUCGCUGUAUGAAGGAUGAAGAGCUCAAGAGGAGGAGCUUAUGUCUGCCCCUCCGCGCACCAGAAUACUGCAUUUUCACAGAGGUAGAAGACCGCAGAAAUAACCCCAUCCGUUGGACCAGAAGGCACCGUCUCCAUAUUCCAUGACACGUUACAAAGGGUGUUCAUUUUUCCGCUGUGUGUCCCUGAUUCUCUUCUAUUUUUCUCUCCACUGGUCUAUCCUGACACUGUGGGGCUGUCUGUGCUGGUACCUUGUCAGUGCUUCCCUCCCUGACUCUAUGCGCUCUUAUUUGUUAGCACUAAUAUUGGCACUCUGCUGUCCAUGGUUCUGAAACCCGCCUACUCCGGGUCAUGUUCUUCAUUAUACCUUCUCCUGUACUGCACCCCACAGAGUGGGGGAAAUCUAUUCCUCUCCUGCUUCACGAUCAUACCUUAUACCUCCACUGCGCUGGGCUGGGUUCUGAGCAGCUCCUCUUCAUUAUACAGUCAUCCCUGGAUUGACGAACUUAACUCGCAUCCUGAAAACUAUUUGUAGGGUGAAAAUAUAUCAAUUACAAUCAAUAAGUCGGAUUAAAUUUUCUAACUCGGAUACAGACCCACCCCACCCAGGGCACCCCCCCCAACACUAUCCAUACAUUAGAACAGGACAGCAGCUGGAAGUGAAGCAUUGUCUCAGAGUAACUCAUUAACGUAUGAGCAAACCUAAACAACAUAUACAAGCCAGUAAACUAGCAGUGAAAUCCUAUUAACCCAGGAGGGGAUUACAAAGAAAGAUUAUGCAUUUAUCUGGAAAUCCAUAGUGAAUAUGUUGACAGACG
rnacentral:lncRNA from 1 species